rnacentral:tRNA from 1 species
CGUUCUAUUGCCGAGUUGGUAAAGGCGAGGGUGCGGGUUCGAGUCCCACUGGAACGA